rnacentral:rRNA from 1 species
UACGUAGGGUGCGAGCGUUAAUCGGAAUUACUGGGCGUAAAGCGUGCGUAGGCGGUUCGUUAAGUCAGCUGUGAAAGCCCCGGGCUCAACCUGUGAACUGCGGUUGAAACUGGCGAACUAGAAUCUGGCAGAGGGGGGUGGAAUUCCACGUGUAGCAGUGAAAUGCGUAGAGAUGUGGAGGAACACCGAUGGCGAAGGCAGCCCCCUGGGUUAACACUGACGCUCAUGCACGAAAGCGUGGGGAGCAAACAGG